GGCUUGCAAGUAAAGCUUUCUUUGUCAGGGAAUGAAGGCAGCAAAUGGUGAGCACUAAGUAAAAACUUGACAUUGUG